UGCCUACGGGAGGCAGCAGUGGGGAAUAUUGGGCAAUGGGCGCAAGCCUGACCCAGCAACGCCGCGUGAAGGAAGAAGGCUUUCGGGUUGUAAACUUCUUUUCUCAGGGACGAAGAAAGUGACGGUACCUGAGGAAUAAGCCACGGCUAACUGCGUGCCAGCAGCCGCGGUAAUACGUAGGUGGCAAGCGUUAUCCGGAUUUACUGGGUGUAAAGGGAGCGUAGGUGGCAUGGUAAGCCAGAAGUGAAAACCCGGGGAUC
rnacentral:rRNA from 1 species